AAAGCGUGCGCAGGCGGUUUUGUAAGUCUGUCGUGAAAUCCCCGGGCUCAACCUGGGAAUGGCGAUGGAGACUGCAAGGCUAGAGUUUGGCAGAGGGGGGUAGAAUUCCACGUGUAGCAGUGAAAUGCGUAGAGAUGUGGAGGAACACCGAUGGCGAAGGCAGCCCCCUGGGUCAAAACUGACGCUCAUGCACGAAAGCGUGGGGAGCAAACAGGAUUAGAUACCCGGGU
rnacentral:rRNA from 1 species